rnacentral:rRNA from 1 species
UAUGAACGCUGGCGGCGUGCCUAAUACAUGCAAGUCGAGCGAACAGACGAGGAGCUUGCUCCUCUGACGUUAGCGGCGGACGGGUGAGUAACACGUGGAUAACCUACCUAUAAGACUGGGAUAACUUCGGGAAACCGGAGCUAAUACCGGAUAAUAUAUUGAACCGCAUGGUUCAAUAGUGAAAGACGGUUUUGCUGUCACUUAUAGAUGGAUCCGCGCCGCAUUAGCUAGUUGGUAAGGUAACGGCUUACCAAGGCAACGAUGCGUAGCCGACCUGAGAGGGUGAUCGGCCACACUGGAACUGAGACACGGUCCAGACUCCUACGGGAGGCAGCAGUAGGGAAUCUUCCGCAAUGGGCGAAAGCCUGACGGAGCAACGCCGCGUGAGUGAUGAAGGUCUUCGGAUCGUGAAACUCUGUUAUUAGGGAAGAACAAAUGUGUAAGUAACUAUGCACGUCUUGACGGUACCUAAUCAGAAAGCCACGGCUAACUACGUGCCAGCCGCCGCAGUAA